UGCACUAAUUCCCUCCAUCCCCUCUAUUAAACAGAGAAGACCAGUAGCCGCGACGCUCGAGGUCACCCGAGAAAACCCUAAUUCCGGCGAAUUACUGCGGAGGCUGCGAAUAAAAAAGGUAUGAUUCGUUAUUAUUCCUUCGAGACUGCAAGAAUCUCUUGCGUGUAGUUUCAGAGAUGGACUUGUGUCGAAUCUCAACGAGGAACUCGAGCUUAGGCCCGCAAUUUAGUUAUACAUUUAUUCUUAGGUGGCUCAACACAACUGUUUCCAGUUGCAGUAAUUAAGAGUUACGUUUGUGAAAUUUUUAAGUUCUUCGUCUAAGAGAUUCGUGAGAGUGGAAUGACUAGAAUGGUGCUUUUGGACUCAAAUGAGGAAGAUUAAAGAUCCGGUUGUUAGGAUAGUUUGGGAUGAAUGACAAGAGGAACUGUGGUCGAAGAGUUGAGGAAAAUGUUCAAAACCUUCUAUCCAAUGGAUUAUCGUUUUAUAUCCGUGGAGUUGUUAAAAUGGAACAUCCGGUCUAUUGGAGCUGAGUUUGAUAAUACGAAAGUGCGGAGAAAAAUGCACGGUUACGUUUGUCAUGGACUUGGAUGGGGUCUGUGACCUCUAGCCAAGAAGGAAAAAGGGACAAGAAGUAAGAAAGUUGCAAUUUCAUGUGAGCUGGGUUUGAGUAUUCGAGUUACUAGGAUGGAAUCUCCAGUUUCUGAUGGCAACACUCCUAAGCGCUCGUUAAGAAAGACUGUAGCAUUACGAAGUUACGAUGAGAAUCUUAUGGACGAGCUCAUAGAGAAGCACUUGGGCAGCACGCCAAGGAAAAAGAAUAGAACGAAGGCGGAUUUGGAGAAAGAAACUGAAAUCGAGGCCAUGAUUGCUCUAUCUCUAGGGUUCCCCAUUGAUGCAUUGCUUGAAGAGGAAAUUAAAGCUGGUGUCGUAAGUGAAUUGGGUGGAAAAGAGCAAAAUGACUACAUCGUGGUGAGAAAUCAUAUAUUAGCAAAGUGGAGGGAUAAUGUUCGAAUCUGGCUUUCAAAAGGACAGAUUAGGGAAACUGUUAGCAGUGAGUAUGAACAUUUGAUCUGUUCAGCUCAUGAUUUUCUCUUGUCACAUGGGUAUAUUAAUUUUGGGGUUUCACCGUCAAUCACAUCUCAAAUUCCCCAAGAAGCACAUGAAGGGUCAGUGAUAAUUGUUGGUUCUGGACUUGCUGGAUUAGCUGCAGCCAGGCAGCUUUUAUCCUUUGGUUUCAAGGUUGUUGUCCUUGAAGGUAGAAAAAGGCCAGGAGGAAGAGUUUAUACUCAGAAAAUGGGCUGUGAUGGUAAAUUUGCUGCUGUAGAUCUUGGUGGUAGUGUUAUUACAGGUAUUCAUGCCAACCCCCUAGGGGUUCUAGCCAGGCAACUUUCCAUUCCACUUCAUAAGGUUAGAGAUAAAUGUCCUCUAUACAAGCCAGAUGGGGCACCUGUUGACGUGGAAAUUGAUUCCAAUGUAGAAUUCAUCUUCAACAAGUUGCUGGACAAAGCCACCCAAUUGAGAAAAAUUAUGGGUGGAUUGGCAAAUGAUAUUUCCCUGGGAUCAGCUCUGGAGACAUUGAGACAAUUGUAUGGAGUGGCUCAAAGUACCGAAGAAACACAACUACUUGAUUGGCAUCUUGCAAACUUGGAAUAUGCAAAUGCAGGAUGUCUUUCAGACCUUUCUGUUGCAUAUUGGGAUCAGGAUGAUCCUUAUGAAAUGGGUGGGGACCAUUGUCUUCUUGCUGGAGGUAAUUGGAGACUCAUAAAAGCACUGUGUGAAGAUGUCCCAAUAUUCUAUGGGAAGAUGGUUCACACAAUUAAAUAUGGAAAUGAAGGUGUAGAAGUGAUUGCCGGAGAGCAAGUGUUUCAAGCAGAUAUGGUCCUCUGCACUGUGCCUCUUGGGGUUUUGAAAAAUAAAAGCAUCAAAUUUGAACCUGAGUUACCAAAAAGAAAACUUGCAGCUAUUGAGAGGUUGGGUUUUGGGUUGUUGAAUAAGGUUGCUAUGGUCUUUCCUUAUGUUUUCUGGGGAGAAGACCUAGAUACAUUUGGCUGUCUGAACAGAGAUGGCCAUAGACGUGGUGAAUUCUUUUUGUUCUACAGCUACCAUACUGUUUCUGGAGGUCCCGUUCUUAUUGCACUGGUAGCAGGAGAAGCUGCACUUAUUUCUGAACACAAGGAUCCAUCUAUUUUGCUACACCGUGUGCUAAGCAUCCUCAGAGGUAUCUAUAGCCAAAGGGGCAUUGAUGUGCCUAAUCCCAUCCAAACAAUAUGCACAAGAUGGGGAAGUGAUCCCCUUUGCCGUGGUUCUUAUUCCCAUGUUAGAGUUGGAUCAUCUGGUAAUGAUUAUGAUAUUCUUGCAGAAAGUAUUGGCAGGCGGCUGUUCUUUGCUGGAGAAGCCACAAAUAAGCAGUAUCCAGCCAGCAUGCAUGGUGCUUUCUUGAGUGGUAUAAGAGAAGCUUCACGUAUUCUUCAUGCUACAAGGAGUCGACAAAAUAAUCUCAGGUUGUAUGUGCAAAAGAACGUGGGACCAUGUGAAGAUGUUCUUACAGAUCUAUUCAGGAAGCCUGAUUUAACAUUUGGGAAGUUUUCAUUUAUAUUUGACCCUUCGACUGAAGACCCUAAAUCCCUGGGGCUUAUGAAAGUUACCGUUGGGAAGUCCAGGAGUGGAUUUAUUGGCAAAUUCAGUUCUGGACAAGAAUUACAAAAGAGCUCACAAGAGUCCUUAACUCUACCAUUGCAGCUGUACACUGUUUUAUCUCGAGAGCAGGCACAUGAGCUACAAUUGAUGACUGAAGGGGAUGAAAAUAAAUUGUCCCUUUUAUACAGAAAGUUUGGUUUAAGGCUAAUGGGACCUAGUGGCUUAGGAACCUUAGGUAACUCCUUGACUGUUAGCAUUGCUAGUGCACGUAGAAGUCGGAUCAGGCACCGCUCAGCCGCUGGACAACAAAAUGUGGUCUAAGUGUCAUCAGUUCAGUGCAUUAUUUUUCUAGUGCCUCGUGCAUGAGCAUGGGAUUUUCACCUGUAUUAUAUACAUGCUUGAUGAAAGGGAUACUAGAAGCCUGAUGGAACUUGCCAAUGGAGGUAAAUUGUCUCUUUGAUCCAACUACCUUUGAUCUUUCUAAGAAAAGGGGAAGGAUUAUGUGGAGAUGAAUAAGAGUAGCUUUGAUUUGGAUCAUUUGGGAGGAAAGGAAUGCAAGAAUAUUUCUAGAGGAGGAAAGAGGCAAGGAAGCAGUGAAAGAAUGUGUGAUGAAUAGGGCUAUUCACUGAUUCAAAACUUUGGAUAUCUUCUCACAAUUUUCUUUUGAUGAUCUCUGGAGGAACUAGUAUAUAUGGUGGCAAUGAGCUCUUCUAUGAAGGAAAAAGUAGUCUCAGUGUGGAAGCCCCCUCUGGAAGCAUUUUGUCAAACUGAACUUUGAUGGAACAGCCAAGGUAACCUAGGCCCCUCUAAAGUUGAGGGAUUAUUGAGAGAUAAGGACAUGCCAUUGCCAUCUUUUUUAGGUCCAACGGGAGUGGGAGAUUCUACUAGAGUGGUGGUGGGGUGGUUGAAGGAGUCAAUCUGUAAGUCGGGGCUACAGAAACAAGAUGAAACUUAUAUUGCUAACAAGAAACAUGACUUUGAGAAUACAAUGGAUGAGGACCACCAAUGCCUUUGCUGAUAUUCUCGCCAAGCAAAGGGUGAAUAGGAACCAUUUUUAUUGGGCAUGGUUGUAAUUGUAAUUCUUUCAUUAUGUUGGGAGAGGUCUUUCCACUGAUUAAUAAUGUAUGUACCAUUUGUAUUGGGCAUGGUUGUAAUUGUAACUGUUUCAUUAUGUUGGGGGAGGUCACACCUCGUGCCUCUCUAAGGAUGCUUGUACUAAUAAUGUAUGUACUAUUGUCUACUUGUAAUGCUGUUUUCACUGAUUAAUAAAAUUUGUUUACUUGUCAAAAAAAAGAAGGGAAUCUCUUAGAAGACUACACAAGUGGAUGUUAAAGAAAUGAAGUGUGACUGUUGUAGGAAACCAAGGCAUAGUUGAGAUUCUUGUUGGAAGCUUAGUUCUAACCUAAGACCUCUAAGAUUUACCAAAGGAAAGAAAAACAAUACAAAUUGGUUAGCAUAUGAGAAUUACAAUCUAAUACUGGCUUAAACACCCCAUUUGGUGCUCAUAGCCUCGUACUGAUGAGAUGUUUAUUGCUUCUUAGGUAGUGAUGGAAAAGCAUAAUCAUCCUUUGUCUCAAUUUGAUUGCAUCACUAUUUGCUGGGUCAUUUAAUCCUUUCAUUUCUUUUGCUAAGAUAGGUAAUCAAUCUUUUGCUUAUCAGGUUUUUCUCUCUUCUAUAUUGGGUGGUCAAUUUAGGUAAUUCUAAUUACAUAACUGGCAAGUCAUCUUUGUUUAUGCUCUAGUUGCAAUAAGGUUACAAUAGCAAAUGUCUUCCUUACUCCUAUUUUUAGGAAAGGAACUAUUCAACUAGGUGGUCACUUGUCUUUGGAUUCUAUUAAGAUAAAAAGAUACAAGUAUCUUGGGUGACAAGAUGUCACCACCUAGCGAAACAAAAGGGAAACUACAAUAUAACCAUACUAAAUAGACCAAACCCAAAACCCAUACAAAAUUAAAUCAACAAAAUAGACCAGAAAUUCUUUUUUUGCAGCCUACAAAUUCUGGAAGAAUUAAAACCCAAUCAUCGAGCUUUGAGCUGAUUGUUGCCACUAAUUUUUCCUUGCUCUUCAUCUUUCCAUAAAAAAAUUCUUCUAUUUCUUUCCUUCCACUACCCAACAGACAGCAAAAGGGAUGCAGAUCCAGAGGAUUUUACUUUGAUGUUUCCUGAUAGCCUUGGCAACACUCCAAAAAUAUUCACAGGCCUAGCAGGAGACCAACCAUCAUAGCUUGAAGAGAAAAAGCACAUAUUCCUUUCACAAAAUUGCAGCUAACCAUUAAAUGAAAUAAGUCUUCUUCCUCUGAAAAACACAGUGCACAUCUGCUUAGGAUUACAAAACCUUUGAAAAACACAUUGCACAUCUGCCUAUUCACCAACCAUGCGAAAACCUCCACUCUUGGAGGAAUUGGUUUCCCCCAAAUUCCUUUGAGAGAAGAAGAUUCCACCUGAAUCCUCAUUAAUGCAUUGUCCAUGUUCCCCUGCUUAUUACAAAUUUGUUGUUUGUUGAUGGUCUAACUAUGCAAUUAAAUUGUUAUUUAACUUUUUUAUCAUUAUGUCUUCUUCUUCUAGGACCUAGGCAUGAGGAAGACUAUUAAAAGUGGCCAUGAAGUGAAAGGAGUCUACUUGUUGAAUAACCUGCCAAAUAAUUCUUUGGCAUUUUAGUCUAAUAGUUUAGUGAGUCAUCAAUGACCAAAGUUAGGCAUUGGAUACAUAUAUCUUGGUAUGACGAUCUCAGUCUGAUGUAAGUUGAUGCUUGUGUGGGGCUUGCUAGUGUCUGGAGCUUUGGCAAGUGGCCUGUUGUAUCUUUUUUAACUUUGAUAGCAAUAAAAUUUACCUUAUCUUUCAAAAAAAGUAUAUUCCCUGAAUUAUUUAUCUUUCUCAUUUGGUCUUUUAAAUUUUAUUCCCUGAAUUGUUUAAGUUGGUCACCUCAUUGAAUUUUAAAUGUGAGUCUAUGAGCUUGCUAAAUGUUACAUAACAUCAUUUUUCCAAGUACUUCUCUUUGUACUUGUGGAUUACUUUUAAAUUUUAAUUACAUACUUGAUUGUACAUGUUCUAUGGCAAGGUGGUAUUCAUCAAAGCACUUAUACACUAAAGCUAUUGUUCCGAAGCCAUUUGGGAUGGGAUAUUCUUUCACUCAAAAGGGGUAACAUUGCUUUCAUCUGAAAAGAGAUUUGUUUAAGGACACCACCAUCUUAGUCAAUUUUGUUCUCCUUAGGUCACUAUUUAGAUAGAGUUCUAAUGAAAAGAAAAGUCUUGUAUUUCUUCUUCCUAUGUUGGUUCUCAUGUUUUCCUUCUUAAGGUCUUUAUGGAGGUUGUAGUGUCAAAGAAUCCUGAAGCAUAUACUCAUAGUUGUCAAGGCAAUGCCUAGGCGACGAGGCGCCCUUGGAGGCUCGCUUCGCCCAGUCGCCAAGUAGUUUUGCGCCCUUGUAGUGUCUUUAUGUACUGAUUUCUUUUUAUUAUUUUAUUUGUUAGGGUUUAAUCAACACAAACAUUGCUAAUUG